rnacentral:rRNA from 1 species
UCUCCAUGGAGAAGUCUGAGCAGCCCGCCGCGUGAGUGAAGAAGGCCUUCGGGUUGUAAAGCUCUGUCGAGCGGGACGAAAAAUCAUUAGGUGAAUAGCCUAGUGAUCUGACGGUACCGCUAAAGGAAGCACCGGCUAACUCCGUGCCAGCAGCCGCGGUAAUACGGAGGGUGCAAGCGUUGCUCGGAAUUAUUGGGCGUAAAGGGUAGGUAGGUGGUCUCAUUUGUCUGGGGUGAAAGCCUUGAGCUUAACUCAAGAAGUGCCCCAGAAACGGUGAGACUAGAGUCUUGGAGAGGGUCGUGGAAUUCCCGGUGUAGCGGUGAAAUGCGUAGAGAUCGGGAGGAACACCAGAGGCGAAGGCGGCGACCUGGACAAGUACUGACACUCAACUACGAAA